rnacentral:rRNA from 1 species
GACGAACGCUGGCGGCGUGCUUAACACAUGCAAGUCGAACGGAAAGGCCCUGCUUUUGUGGGGUGCUCGAGUGGCGAACGGGUGAGUAACACGUGAGUAACCUGCCCUUGACUUUGGGAUAACUUCAGGAAACUGGGGCUAAUACCGGAUAGGAGCUCCUGCUGCAUGGUGGGGGUUGGAAAGUUUCGGCGGUUGCGGAUGGACUCGCGGCUUAUCAGCUUGUUGGUGGGGUAGUGGCUUACCAAGGCUGUGAAGGGUAGCCGGCCGGAGAGGGUGACCGGCCACAUUGCGACUGCGAUACGGACCAGACUCCUACGGUAGGCAGCAGUGGCGAAUAUUGCACAAUGGGCGGAAGCCUGAUGCAGCAACGCCGCGUGCGGGAUGACGGCCUUUGGGUUGUAAACCGCUUUCGCCUGUGACGAAGCGUGAGUGACGGUAAUGAGUAAAGAAGCACCGGCUAACUACGUG